rnacentral:tmRNA from 1 species
GGGGGUGAAUUAGUUUCGACGUGGGUAGGAUGAGCAUCAGAAGCGAGCCGAGGUCCCCGAUGCCUCGUUAAAAGCGGGAUUUAAAAUAACUGCAAACAAUAAUUACGCUUUAGCUGCUUAGUUCGGCUAACGUCCCUUGUUUCUCCGUCUGUUAGAAACAAGACCGACGUCAAUUAACAGACUACCCCUUAGGAAAGGCCCGGGGCCUGAGGGGGACAUUUACGGGCUGGCCCUCCCUGCAGCUGGCUGUGGAGUAGUAGGGAUGGCGAGACUUUAAACCACAGCUGCGCUCGGAGAUGCUGGUGUGAUUCCACUUGCGGACAGCGGUGCAACUCCGCUCACCUCCACCA